rnacentral:lncRNA from 1 species
AGAACACACUUUUCUUUUGGUAGUUAAGACUACCUCUUUUUAGGGUUUUCAUUGAUUUAAAUAGAAAAGAUAUUGGAGUCAUUAACUCUUACAAAACAGGAAUAAUGGAAACAUGGAGUCACAACUCCUAACAAAAGAUAACGUGAAACAAAGUGGAGAACUAUUUCCUAAAGAAUAGUUCUAUUAUUUGAAUAAGUAAAACCAAAGAACCGGAGAAGCCACGUUAUUGCCUUGUGACAUCCUAUCAAUACUCCGACCGUCGAAAGAACCUUGUCCUCAAGGUUCGUGGUGAAGGCGAAUAGGGGAGAACUUGACUUUAAUUUCUUCUCUUCCUCCCAUGUUGAUUCCUCUAGUCGUAGCUUUUGUUCACGAACUAUAAUCUCCACGACCUACCAACUGAUUCCAUGGUUCAUUACUGGAGACAAUUUUUUUUUUUUUUUGAAUAACAAAGAAAUAUGAGAUUUUUUUUUUUUUUUGAAAAUUGAAAAACAAUGGAAGAUUACAGAUUUUAAUUCAUACAAAAGAAAGGAUGCUGAACUUGAUCAACAAACCCGAAAAGAAGAAAAUGGUGAAAAGAAAAAUCGCUGGAUAGAUCUCGAUGAUCGUUGAUUCCGAAGAAUGACCGCUCGUCAAGGAUUCUUGAUAACAGUUGAUUCACGAAGAAUACCGAUAACAAAGAAGAUGAAAAAAUAUAAAAAAUUUGAUACCACAAAGUGGUCCGGAUCAAAAACAUAACAUGCUCUUAUACCAAUUGAUAGGUCUCAGUUAUAGGAUUAUCUAUUGUUGAUCUAGAAACAUGUGAUUUGAUACCAAUUAAGGUCCCUCUUCAAAUCAAAGAGAAUUUGCCAAAAACAAACUAAGAACACACUUUUCUUUGGAUAGUUAAGACUACAUCUUUUUAGGGUUUUCAUUGAUUUAAAUAGAAAAGAUAUCGGAGUCAUUAACUCCUACAAAACACGAAUAAUGGAAACAUGGAGUCACAACUCCCAACAAAAGA